CAGGUCUGAUGUGAGGUUCACAGAGCUGUCGUCUAAGGAGCUGGGGCAAGGGAAGAGUGUGUGCUACCAAACAGGUCCAAGUCUUCUACUGGGAUUACUUUUGAAGAUGAUGUUGCCUGCCUGCUAUAAGAGCACUCAGAAUUUAUGGGAUGAGCACUGA
rnacentral:lncRNA from 1 species